rnacentral:rRNA from 1 species
UCACUCCCNACCCCUGUGACAUACCACUUGUUGCCUCGGCGGAUCAGCCCGCUCCCGGUAAAACGGGACGGCCCGCCAGAGGACCCCUAAACUCUGUUUCUAUAUGUAACUUCUGAGUAAAACCAUAAAUAAAUCAAAACUUUCAACAACGGAUCUCUUGGUUCUGGCAUCGAUGAAGAACGCAGCAAAAUGCGAUAAGUAAUGUGAAUUGCAGAAUUCAGUGAAUCAUCGAAUCUUUGAACGCACAUUGCGCCCGCCAGUAUUCUGGCGGGCAUGCCUGUUCGAGCGUCAUUUCAACCCUCAAGCACAGCUUGGUGUUGGGACUCGCGUUAAUUCGCGUUCCCCAAAUUGAUUGGCGGUCACGUCGAGCUUCCAUAGCGUAGUAGUAAAACCCUCGUUACUGGUAAUCGUCGCGGCCACGCCGUUAAACCCCAACUUCUGAAUGUUGACCUCGGAUCAGGUAGGAAUACCCGCUGAACUUAAGCAUAUCAAUAANCGGAGGAAA